rnacentral:rRNA from 1 species
AGCAGCCGCGGUAAUUCCAGCUCCAAUAGCGUAUAUUAAAGUUGUUGCAGUUAAAAAGCUCGUAGUUGAAUUUCGGGAUCAACAUGUCGGUCGUGCCUCCGGUACGUACUGGCAUCGUUGAUUUCUACCUUCUGACGAACCAUGAUGUCAUUAAUUUGGUGUCAUGGGGAAUCAGGACCGUUACUUUGAAAAAUUAGAGUGUUUAAAGCAGGCACACGCUUGAAUACAUUAGCAUGGAAUAAUGAAAUAGGACGCUUGACCCUAUUUUGUUGGUUUCUAGGAUCGACGUAAUGAUUAAUAGGGGAUAGUUGGGGGCAUUAGUAUUCAAUUGUCAGAGGUGAAAUUCUUGGAUUUAUUGAAGACUAACUACUGCGAAAGCAUUUGCCAAGGAUGUUUUCAUUAAUCAAGAACGAAAGUUAGGGGAUCGAAGACGAUCAGAUACCGUCGUAGUCUUAACCAUAAACUAUGCCGACUAGGGAUCGGAUGAUGUUAACUUUUAUGACUCAUUC